AUGGGCGCUCUGCUCUCCUGCAUGUCCGGCACGUCCCCCUCCGACUCCCCGCCGCAGGCCAAGCGGCGCUCCUCCGCGUCCUCCCGCCGCGGCGGCGGCGCCAAGGCCGCGGAGAUCGACGAGCAGGCGCUGGCCGCCGCGGCGGCGCUCGUGCUGGGGCAGCGCGGGGGAGGAGGCGCGUUUGACCGGUCGGCGUCGGUGCGGUACGCCGCGAAGCGGCAGCAGCAGGGCCCGCCGCUGCCCAGGAGCUCCAGCACGCGCCCGCGCUCCCUCGCCGACCCCGAGCUCCAGCCGCAGCAGCUCCUCGCCAAGGAGUUGAAUACUAAAGAUUUGGAAACCAACAUAAUUGUUCUUGUUCACGGAGGUGGGUUUGGUGCUUGGUGUUGGUACAAGACCAUGUCACUUCUUGAAGAUAGUGGGUUCAAAGUCAAUGCUAUUGACUUAACAGGCUCCGGGAUUAAUUCUUCUGAUACAAACAAGAUUAGCAGUCUUUCAGAGUAUGCUGAGCCACUUACAUCUUACCUUAAGGGCCUAUGUGAUGCUGAAAAGGUUAUCUUGGUUGGACAUGAUUUUGGGGGUGCUUGCAUAUCCCAUGCGAUGGAGAUGUUUCCAUCGAAAGUUGCCAAGGCUGUUUUCCUGUGUGCAACUAUGGUGACAAAUGGACAUAGUGCUCUUGAUAUCUUCCAACAACAGAUGGAUACAAAUGGUAUGCUCCAAAAGGCACAGGAAUUAGUAUACUCCAAUGGCAAGGACCGGCCUCCCACCGCUAUCAACAUCGACAGGGCUUCAGUAAGGGAUCUGUUAUUCAACCAAAGUCCUGCCAAGGAUGUAUCCUUGGCUUCGGUGUCCAUGAGACCUAUCCCCUUUGCCCCGGUAAUGGAGAAACUCACGUUAACAGAAGGGAACUACGGAUCCGUGCGGCGAUUCUUUGUCGAGACAACGGAGGACAACGCGAUACCUCUUUCCCUGCAGCAGAGCAUGUGUGUGACUAACCCGCCGGAGAAGGUCCUGCGGCUGAAAGGUUCAGACCACGCCCCUUUCUUCUCGAGGCCGCAAGCGUUGCACAAAACGCUGGUAGAGAUAGCAACCCUGCCACGAGCACAGGCAUCAUGA
rnacentral:rRNA from 1 species